rnacentral:rRNA from 1 species
CAGUCGCCACGGUAAUACGAAGGGGGCUAGCGUUGUUCGGAUUUACUGGGCGUAAAGCGCACGUAGGCGGACUUUUAAGUCAGGGGUGAAAUCCCGGGGCUCAACCCCGGAACUGCCUUUGAUACUGGGAGUCUUGAGUUCGAGAGAGGUGAGUGGAAUUGCGAGUGUAGAGGUGAAAUUCGUAGAUAUUCGCAGGAACACCAGUGGCGAAGGCGGCUCACUGGCUCGAUACUGACGCUGAGGUGCGAAAGCGUGGGGAGCAAACAGGAUUAGAUACCCGCGUAGUCCCUGUCUCUUAUAC